GGCACUAUGUGGGGGAUAAUCCAGUUGCCUUGAUGUGGCAAAGUUUAAAACCAUUGUUUUUAGUGUUU
rnacentral:tRNA from 1 species